UACGAAGGCCCCGAGCGUUAUCCGGAUUUAUUGGGCGUAAAGGGCGCGUAGGAGGUCCGAUGCGUCUUCUGUAAAAUUUCACCGCUCAACGGUGGAGCUGCAGGGGAUACGGUCGGGCUAGAGGGCGUUAGAGGCAGAUGGAACACACGGUGUAGGGGUGAAAUCCGUUGAUAUCGUGUGGAACACCAAAGGCGAAGGCAUUCUGCUGGGACGUUCCUGACUCUGAGGCGCGAAAGCGUGGGGAG
rnacentral:rRNA from 1 species